rnacentral:rRNA from 1 species
AGAGUUUGAUCCUGGCUCAGGACAAACGCUGGCGGCGUACCUAAGACAUGCAAGUCGGACGGGUGCACCCACUUCGGUGRGUGUGCGAGUGGCGGACGGGUGAGUAACGCGUAGGAACCUGACGCGCAGUGGGGGAUAACGCUGGGAAACUGGCGCUAAGACCGCAUGUGGUCUCCUGUCGUUCGUGAGAGGAGAAGAAAGCCGAUGAGGCGCUGUGCGAGGGGCCUGCGUCCGAUUAGCUGGUUGGUGGGGUAAAGGCCUACCAAGGCGACGAUCGGUAGCUGGUCUGAGAGGAUGGUCAGCCACACUGGGACUGAGACACGGCCCAGACUCCUACGGGAGGCAGCAGUUAGGAAAUUUUCACAAUGGGCGCAAGCCUGAUGGAGUAACGCCGCGUGGAGGAUGACGGCCUUCGGGUUGUAAACUCCUUUUCUGUGGGACGAGAAGCAGACGGUACCACAGGAAGAAGCCUCGGCUAACUACGUGCCAGCAGCCGCGGUAAUACGUAGGAGGCGAGCGUUGUCCGGAAUUACUGGGCGUAAAGAGCGCGUAGGCGGCACGGUACGACUGGUGUGAAAGCCCCCGGCUCAACUGGGGAGGGUCACCGGUAACGGCCGAGCUAUGAGUGCAGGAGAGGGAAGUGGAACUCCGGGAGUAGCGGUGAAAUGCGUAGAGACCCGGAGGAACACCAGUGGCGAAGGCGGCUUCCUGGCCUGCGACUGACGCUGUGGCGCGAAAGCUAGGGGAGCGAACGGGAUUAGAUACCCCGGUAGUCCUAGCCGUAAACGAUGGACACUCGGUGUGCGUGGUAUCGACCCCACGCGUGCCGGAGCUAACGCAGUAAGUGUCCCGCCUGGGGAGUAUGCCGCAAGGCUAAAACUCAAAGGAAUUGACGGGGACCCGCACAAGCAGCGGAGCGUGUGGUUUAAUUCGACGCAACGCG